AAGCCGGAAUCGCUAGUAAUCGUGGAUCAGCAUGCCACGGUGAAUACGUUCCCGGGCCUUGUACACACCGCCCGUCACACCACGAGAGUUUGUAACACCCGAAGUCGGUAGGGUAACCUUUAUGGAGCCAGCCGCCGAAGGUGGGACAGAUAAUUGGGGUGAAGUCGUAACAAGGUAGCCGUAUCGGAAGGUGCGGCUGGAUCACCUCCUUUCUAAGGAA
rnacentral:rRNA from 1 species